rnacentral:pre_miRNA from 1 species
UAACUUCUGCAGCCUGGCUAGCCCCCAGGCUGGGCUGGGUGAGUAUUUCUUUAAAAGUCUCAUCCUCAAGCAUGACUAGGAAU